rnacentral:rRNA from 1 species
AUUGAACGCUGGCGGCAUGCCUAACACAUGCAAGUCGAACGAGUGGCGGACGGGUGAGUAAUGUCUGGGAAACUGCCUGAUGGAGGGGGCUAACUACUGGAAACGGUAGCUAAUACCGCAUACCAUCAGAUUUUCCCAGAUGGGAUUAGCUUGGUGGUGGGGUAACGGCUCACCAAGGCUACGCUCCCUCGCUGGUCUGAGCGGAUGACCAGCCACACUGGAACGGAGACACGGUCCAGACUCCUACGGGAGGCAGCAGUGGGGAAUAUUGCACAAUGGGCGCAAGCCUGAUGCAGCCAUGCCGCGUGUAUGAAGAAGGCCUUCGGGUUGUAAAGUACUUUCAGCAGGGAGGCGUUACCCGCAGAAGAAGCACCGGCUAACUCCGUGCCAGCAGCCGCGGUAAUUC